GAUGAACGCUGGCGGCGUGCCUAAUACAUGCAAGUCGAGCGAACAGAUGAUGAGCUUGCUCCUCUGACGUUAGCGGCGGACGGGUGAGUAACACGUGGAUAACCUACCUAUAAGACUGGGAUAACUUCGGGAAACCGGAGAUAAUACCGGAGAAUAUAUUGAACCGCAUGGUUCAAUAGAGAAAGACGGUUUUGCUGUCACUUAUAGAUGGAUCCGCGCCGCAUUAGCUAGUUGGUAAGGUAACGGCUUACCAAGGCAACGAUGCGUAGCCGACCUGAGAGGGUGAUCGGCCACACUGGAACUGAGACACGGUCCAGACUCCUACGGGAGGCAGCAGUAGGGAAUCUUCCGCAAUGGGCGAAAGCCUGACGGAGCAACGCCGCGUGAGUGAUGAAGGUCUUCGGAUCGUAAAACUCUGUUAUUAGGGAAGAACAAAUGUGUAAGUAACUAUGCACGUCUUGACGGUACCUAAUCAGAAAGCCACGGCUAACUACGUG
rnacentral:rRNA from 1 species